rnacentral:rRNA from 1 species
AUGCUUAACACAUGCAAGUCGAACGCUUUCAGGGGCUUCGGCCUUUGAGGGAGUGGCGCACGGGUGAGUAGCGCGUGGGAACCUGCCCUGUUGUGGGGGAUAACCGCGGGAAACUGCGGCUAAUACCGCAUAAGCCGGCUGGUCUAGCGAUAGAUUGGCCGGGAAAGAUUUAUCGCGACAGGAGGGGCCCGCGUCGGAUUAGCUGGUUGGUGGGGUAACGGCCUACCAAGGCAAUGAUCCGUAGCUGGUCUGAGAGGAUGAUCAGCCACACUGGGACUGAGACACGGCCCAU